GGGGUGAAAGGUUGCGAAGAUGGCGACGGCCUUGAGCGAGGAGGAGCUGGACAAUGAAGACUAUUACUCGUUGCUGAACGUGCGCAGGGAGGCCUCUUCUGAAGAGCUGAAAGCUGCCUACCGGAGGCUCUGUAUGCUCUACCAUCCAGACAAGCACAGAGACCCAGAGCUCAAGUCACAGGCGGAACGACUGUUUAACCUUGUUCACCAGGCUUAUGAAGUGCUUAGUGACCCCCAAACCAGGGCCAUCUAUGAUAUAUAUGGGAAGAGAGGACUGGAAAUGGAAGGAUGGGAGGGAGGGGCUGACAUGAGAUUGAGAAGAUAAUGGAAACUUUGAAAAAUUGUACCUUGCUUUUGUCUAUGUCAGGAUGGGUGGUAUUGGCAAGUGAGAGUGCUGUAGAUAGGUGACGCACUCUCGAUGAUUUUAAGCCUGGGCAGCGGGAACGCAUCUUGUUCACGAAAUAGAACCCAGAAUGCCCUUGCGAGGUCACAGAGCAAUCACUGUCAUGCCACUUAGGACCUUUAGUUUGUUCUUGGAUGAUUUUAACAAUCUUUUUAUUUUAAAGCUUCCUUAAAAAGAACCACUUCCCCCUUUUUAGUAAUUAUUGAUUUAUAUUGGGUUAUUAGAGAAGAAAAUGUUUUCAAUAUUUUUAAUGUUUAAAGUAGUGGACAAGUUCCUAGGAUUUUUUGGAUGCGUUUUUGUAUUUUUUUUUAUUUGUUGAAAAAUAAAAUCAAGUUGCACAAA
rnacentral:sRNA from 1 species